rnacentral:piRNA from 1 species
UGGUGAUUCCUGGCAGAGUGGUUUGCU